UCACUUCUUACAUACAUCUGCAUUUAGUGAAGGAAAUGUUGAACGAUGUGUAAGCUACACAGAGGCAGACAAAGCAGGCAGGUGCUUCCCUUGGUUAGACUGCUGUUACACAGACAAAGCAGACAGGUGCUUCCCUUGGUUAGACUGCUGUUACACAGACAAAGCAGACAGGUGCUUCCCUUGGUUAGACCGCUGUUACACUUAGGAUUCCAAACAAGUAAAGCUCAGUAUCACCACAAUGUCAGAUCUACUAGUUUAACAGGAAUGUACGAAUUAACCUUAUUGUUACAAGUCUAAAUAUAAACAACAAAGUUUAAAAAAAA